rnacentral:rRNA from 1 species
UACGGGGGGGGCAAGCGUUGUUCGGAAUUACUGGGCGUAAAGGGCUCGUAGGCGGCCAACUAAGUCAGACGUGAAAUCCCUCGGCUUAACCGGGGAACUGCGUCUGAUACUGGAUGGCUUGAGGUUGGGAGAGGGAUGCGGAAUUCCAGGUGUAGCGGUGAAAUGCGUAGAUAUCUGGAGGAACACCGGUGGCGAAGGCGGCAUCCUGGACCAAUUCUGACGCUGAGGAGCGAAAGCCAGGGGGAGCAAACGGG